CGCGGGGUUGAGCAGCUUGGUAGCUCGUCGGGCUCAUAACCCGAAGGUCGUCGGUUCAAAUCCGGCCCCCGCAACCA
rnacentral:tRNA from 1 species